rnacentral:rRNA from 1 species
GACAGAGGAUGCAAGCGUUAUCCGGAAUGAUUGGGCGUAAAGCGUCUGUAGGUGGCUUUUUAAGUCCGCCGUCAAAUCCCAGGGCUCAACCCUGGACAGGCGGUGGAAACUACCAAGCUGGAGUACGGUAGGGGCAGAGGGAAUUUCCAGUGGAGCGGUGGAAUGCGCAGAUAUCAGGAAGAACACCCGUGGCGAAGGCGGCUCUCUGGAACGCAACUGACGCUGAGACGCGAAAGCGUGGGGAGCAAACAGG